AUUCCAGCUCCAAUAGCGUAUAUUAAAGUUGUUGCAGUUAAAAAGCUCGUAGUUGGAUUUGUGGUGUACUUCGGCGGCCCGUCACUAUGUGAUGGAGCUUGCUGAAGUCGCCAUCCUUGGGUGGAUCCUGUGUGGCAUUAAGUUGUCGUGCAGGGGAUGCCCAUCGUUUACUGUGAAAAAAUUAGAGUGUUCAAAGCAGGCUUAUGCCGUUGAAUAUAUUAGCAUGGAAUAAUAAGAUAGGACCUUGGUACUAUUUUGUUGGUUUGCGCACCAAGGUAAUGAUUAAUAGGGACAGUUGGGGGUAUUCGUAUUUCAUUGUCAGAGGUGAAAUUCUUGGAUUUUUGAAAGACGAACUUCUGCGAAAGCAUUUACCAAGGAUGUUUUCAUCA
rnacentral:rRNA from 1 species